GAGCAAUGGUAAUGCGGGACAGAAAACAGACGACACAUGCGCUCUCUACCCAUCACACGCUUCUCGGAGGGCAAGGUCUAAUCAGACCUGAGAAUGACGGAUGGAUGACAUUUACCACACAGCCUUGCCCGAGAGGCAGAACUUCACCACUGGGCUUUGCAUUGGCCACAAACCUCGAGGCUUCUCCAACCGCUCCCGGCCUUCCUCUCCCCCUCCCCCUUGUUCUGUUUCUGUCUCUCAACACCCUGCCCGCACCGGCACCACAGGUCACAAUUCCAAUUCCAGAUGAUAAAAUGCCCUGCUGCGGGGCAUGGGGCCUGGCUCCCAGAGUGGCUGCCGUGAAUGCAUGACACUCGGCCUUCUCUGGGAAUGGCUGCGCGACGCGUCCCUUCCACACCGCGACCUUGACAUGCCCCCGAGGGAAGGUGGAACCUCGUGUCUCCAGCCAGAUGCAUGAAGUGACACUGCGACUUCCAAGGCAAGGAAACCAGCCACCCCAGGUCAGCACAAGGGACAGUGGCCAUGAGCGGCCCACGGCGGCCCCGCCGACCUCCUGGGCACGAGCUGGGUCUGGUCCACGAGCAGCAGGGCCCCGUCGCCUCAGCCCACGGCAGCCCGGCUCAGGUGACUUCAGGUAUCUCUUCUCCCCUUCACGCCUGGGUGGGUUGAGUGGUAUUUAUUCCAACACUCAUUUUAUUGGUGGGGUGUUGAAAGCACGGGAAUUAUUCAUAGCUGGUUUCGGUUCUCUUCUGGCAACAGCCACAUCGUCGCACACGAGGUACAAAUUACGUGUCAGCUCAGUUCGCCAUCAGUCGGAGGCUGUCCCCACACAUCAAGCCAUGGAGGCUCCAAAGGCCCCGGAGACCACGUCUGGCUGGAGUGGCUUCUUUGAUGGCUCAACAGCAAGCGACAGCAUAGACGGUGUCCAAGUCUGGCCAGGCCUUCAAGACGGGCAGCUUCUUCUUUUUGCCUCUUGGGGGACACGCUUGGAACCCAGCCACCAUGCUGUGAGGAAGCCCAAGCCCGAGGAGAGGCCCAUAUGGAAGGGGACCUCGGGUCACCAGCCUGCAUCCACGUGA
rnacentral:lncRNA from 1 species